GGAGGACUACCUCAUGUACUUGGGAUUGAGACUAUCAAAAAAUCCCGGCCAACUACUAGAGCUAAAUUAUGGCAGACUAAUGAAAGAAAUCAGAGAAACACUGAAGGGAUGGGAAAACAAAUACCUGUCUUGGAUAGGGAGGCUAACAUCAUUUAAAAUGAUGCUACUACCAAAAUUCCAAUACUUAACAAGAACAUUACAAAUGUUCC